AGGACGAACGCUGGCGGCGUGCUUAACACAUGCAAGUCGAGCGGUAAGGCCCUUUCGGGGGUACACGAGCGGCGAACGGGUGAGUAACACGUGAGCAAUCUGCCCUUCACUUCGGGAUAAGCCUCGGAAACGGGGUCUAAUACCGGAUAUGACUGCGCCAUGCAUGUGGUGUGGUGGAAAGUUCUGGCGGUGAGGGAUGAGCUCGCGGCCUAUCAGCUUGUUGGUGGGGUAAUGGCCUACCAAGGCUUCGACGGGUAGCCGGCCUGAGAGGGUGACCGGCCACACUGGGACUGAG
rnacentral:rRNA from 1 species